rnacentral:rRNA from 1 species
GAUGAACGCUGGCGGCGUGCCUAAUACAUGCAAGUCGAGCGAAUGGAUUAAGAGCUUGCUCUUAUGAAGUUAGCGGCGGACGGGUGAGUAACACGUGGGUAACCUGCCCAUAAGACUGGGAUAACUCCGGGAAACCGGGGCUAAUACCGGAUAACAUUUUGAACCGCAUGGUUCGAAAUUGAAAGGCGGCUUCGGCUGUCACUUAUGGAUGGACCCGCGUCGCAUUAGCUAGUUGGUGAGGUAACGGCUCACCAAGGCAACGAUGCGUAGCCGACGUGAGAGGGUGAUCGGCCACAAUGGGACUGAGACACGGCCCAGACUCCUACGGGAGGCAGCAGUAGGGAAUCUUCCGCAAUGGACGAAAGUCUGACGGAGCAACGCCGCGUGAGUGAGGAAGGCUUUCGGGUCGUAAAACUCUGUUGUUAGGGAAGAACAAGUGCUAGUUGAAUAAGCUGGCACCUUGACGGUACCUAACCAGAAAGCCACGGCUAACUACGUGCCAGCAGCCGCGGUAA